rnacentral:rRNA from 1 species
CUGCGGCAGCGACACUGUGUGUUGUUGGGUAGGGGAGCGUUCUGUAAGCCUGUGAAGGUGUGUCGUGAGGCAUGCUGGAGGUAUCAGAAGUGCGAAUGCUGACAUAAGUAACGAUAAAGCGGGUGAAAAGCCCGCUCGCCGGAAGACCAAGGGUUCCUGUCCAACGUUAAUCGGGGCAGGGUGAGUCGACCCCUAAGGCGAGGCCGAAAGGCGUAGUCGAUGGGAAACGGGUUAAUAUUCCCGUACUUGGUGUUACUGCGAAGGGGGGACGGAGAAGGCUAUGUUGGCCGGGCGACGGUUGUCCCGGUUUAAGCGUGUAGGUGUGUGUUCCAGGUAAAUCCGGUUCACUUUAACACUGAGGCGUGACGACGAGGCACUACGGUGCUGAAGCAACAAAUGCCCUGCUUCCAGGAAAAGCCUCUAAGCAUCAGGUAACAUCAAAUCGUACCCCAAACCGACACAGGUGGUCAGGUAGAGAAUACCAAGGCGCUUGAGAGAACUCGGGUGAAGGAACUAGGCAAAAUGGUGCCGUAACUUCGGGAGAAGGCACGCUGACACGUAGGUGAAGUGAUUUACUCAUGGAGCUGAAGUCAGUCGAAGAUACCAGCUGGCUGCAACUGUUUAUUAAAAACACAGCACUGUGCAAACACGAAAGUGGACGUAUACGGUGUGACGCCUGCCCGGUGCCGGAAGGUUAAUUGAUGGGGUCAGCGCAAGCGAAGCUCCUGAUCGAAGCCCCGGUAAACGGCGGCCGUAACUAUAACGGUCCUAAGGUAGCGAAAUUCCUUGUCGGGUAAGUUCCGACCUGCACGAAUGGCGUAAUGAUGGCCAGGCUGUCUCCACCCGAGACUCAGUGAAAUUGAACUCGCUGUGAAGAUGCAGUGUACCCGCGGCAAGACGGAAAGACCCC